rnacentral:lncRNA from 10 species
ACAGGAUUGAGCCACCGUGCCUGGACCUAUUGGCUUUUUAUCUUAAGUUGACUCAGAAAGACAAAUUUUUAAGAUGAAAAAAAAUUUACGUGGUAAACACCUCAAUCCCAAAACUCAGAUAUACAAUGUAUUUCCCAUUAUUUAUCUUUUCUUUAAGUUGAUUUAUCAAGCUUUCAUUCUUUCAGUAAACUUCACUUGAUCAUGAUAUAGAUGGUUUCUCACUAUGUUGCUCAGGCUAGUCUCAAACUCCUGGACUCAAAAAAUUCUCCCACCUCAGCCUCUACAAGUGUUGGAAAUACAGGCAUGAGCCACCACACCCAGCUGUGUUAAAAAUAUUUUUAAAAAUUACAUCAAUUUUCCAUCCAAAAAUUGUUUCAAUUCAUUUUUGCUCCUAAUUUUUCUUUCUCUACCUGUUUGACAAAGUGUUAAUAAAGUGUUUGUAAGACAUGUUUUCCUGCUUGAAAAAAUGUAGUUUAUUAUUAUCAAAGUCAUUAUGAUUUUCUAGAUGAGAUGGCAAUGAAAAUUUUU